UCUUCAUCUUAGUAAAUUUGUUAUAAUAUUAUGUAUUCGUUCAUGGUCGUAUAACUUACAAGUGUUGGUGGCGAUUAAAUACUCACUGGCGAUGCGCACGCGGCGUAUUGACAAUACGCUGUCAACACUGAAAUUCAUUUAAUACCGACCGUUAUCCAAACAUAUCCAGCCUAAGUUGAACUCUAUAUAAAUUGGUCUACACGAGUUUAUACGCUUUCGUGAUGGAAACUUUGAUGUGAAGAACGAACCACGUGGAUGACUGUCCACACACGUGAAUAACAAUGAAUAGAAAGAAUGGUGGAAGCCGAUCCGAGCCAAACAAUCCAGGAAUUAGCGGAAUGGUUUUACGUAAACUCAAGUUUACGUAAAUUUAAUACUUGCGUAGUCGGUAGAGGUCAUUCACUCCACCCGCUCGCCAUGAGAUUAUCCGCGGAACAUAAACGGACACUUGAAUCGACAUCUGAACGUGAUUUUCCUUAAGAUGAUUGUGGAGUUUUAAUUUUAAACGCGUCACAGGAAAUCGA